ACUCAAAGGAAUUGACGGGGGCCCGCACAAGCGGUGGAGUAUGUGGCUUAAUUCGAUGCAACGCGAAGAACCUUACCUAGGCUUGACAUGCCUCUCUAAGUCGGUGAAAGCCGGCGAGUCCCGCAAGGGACAAUUGGCACAGGUGCUGCAUGGCUGUCGUCAGCUCGUGUCGUGAGAUGUUGGGUUAAGUCCCGCAACGAGCGCAACCCUUGUGAUCUGUUGCUAACCGGCUUGUCCGGAGCACUCUGAUCAGACUGCCCUGUGAAACGGGGAGGAAGGUGAGGAUGACGUCAAGUCAGCAUGGCCCUUACGCCUAGGGCUGCACACGUACUACAAUGCCCAGUACAGAAAGAACCGAGACCGCGAGGUGGAGGAAAUCACGAAAACUGGGCUCAAUUCGGAUCGCAGGCUGCAACUCGCCUGCGUGAAGCCGGAAUCGCUAGUAAUGGCGCAUCAGCUACGGCGCCGUGAAUACGUUCCCGGGCCUUGUACACACCGCCCGU
rnacentral:rRNA from 1 species